ACGAACGCUGGCGGCGUGCCUAAUACAUGCAGGUCGAACGCACUCUCGUUUAGAUUGAAGGAGUUUGCUCCUGAUUGAUAAACAUUUGAGUGAGUGGCGGACGGGUGAGUAACACGUGGGUAACCUGCCCUAAAGUGGGGGAUAACAUUUGGAAACAGAUGCUAAUACCGCAUAAAACCUAACACCGCAUGGUGUAGGGUUGAAAGACGGUUUCGGCUAUCACUUUAGGAUGGACCCGCGGUGCAUUAGUUAGUUGGUGAGGUAAAGGCUCACCAAGACCGUGAUGCAUAGCCGACCUGAGAGGGUAAUCGGCCACACUGGGACUGAGACACGGCCCAGACUCCUACGGGAGGCAGCAGUAGGGAAUCUUCCACAAUGGACGAAAGUCUGAUGGAGCAACGCCGCGUGAGUGAAGAAGGUUUUCGGAUCGUAAAACUCUGUUGUUGGAGAAGAAUGUAUCUGAUAGUAACUGAUCAGGUAGUGACGGUAUCCAACCAGAAAGCCACGGCUAACUACGUG
rnacentral:rRNA from 1 species